UGAAAAUUGUAGUAACCCAGGAUAAGAUGAUUUUUGGAAAUUUUUUUUUUCCGAGAAAGUAUUUGAAAAAUUCCUAUUCCACUUUAUUCUUGCGACCACUGUAAUUAAUCACAGUGUACUAAACUAGGUGUAAGCUACGAGGAAGGUAUGAAGAAGAUACACGCAGUUACGUCUUCGGGAGAGGUCAUAGUCGGGAUGCAUGUCUUCAGGGAGGUCUACAAGGCUGUUGGCUUAGGAUGGGUCUGGGCAUUUACUCAGUUACCAGGAUUUAACUCUGUAUGUGAUAGAUUUUACGAUUAUUGGGCGGCUUGGCGCAUGAAAAUAACAGGUCGACCUGAGCUUGAACACGUGUUUGCGGAGAGAAAACAGAUUCUUAAAAAGUUUAACCAAGGAUCUGAUAAGCUUUGUGAAGACGAGUGCAAAGUGAAGAACUAGAAAUACAGUCUAAACACAGAGAGAAGUUAUUAAGAUUAUAAUCAUAUUUCAAAUUAAAGUGUUCCACCCCGAGAAUGGAGGUAUCCGACCUCUCCUUGACGGAUUCCUGCACGUUUAUGAACUGUAUCCUCUCCAGUAGCUCCAGCUCCCUCCAUCCCAUGAGCAGCAUGACAUCCAGCAGCACCUCUUCUUCAAGUCAGCACCAUUGCAAAAACUGACUCUCCAGUGGGAGGCUGCGUGUUAAACAGCCCCUGGCUAUUAAUGCCUCCCCGUCUCAAGUUUAUAAAUAUAUUUUGAAAUAUGAUAUUUUCUAUGUUUUUGGCUUGGGACAAAUAUAUAUAUUUGAUUUGA